rnacentral:rRNA from 1 species
GCGUAGGAAUCUACCUGGUAGUGGGGGACAACAUGGGGAAACCCAUGCUAAUACCGCAUACGCCCUACGGGGAAAGCGGGGGACCUUCGGGCCUCGCGCUAUCAGAUGAGCCUGCGUUGGAUUAGCUUGUUGGUGAGGUAAAAGCUCACCAAGGCGACGAUCCAUAGCUGGUCUGAGAGGAUGAUCAGCCACACUGGGACUGAGACACGGCCCAGACUCCUACGGGAGGCAGCAGUGGGGAAUAUUGCACAAUGGGCGCAAGCCUGAUGCAGCCAUGCCGCGUGUGUGAAGAAGGCUUUC